CUUCAGGCUGCCCAGCCACAACGGCGCGCCGGCCGGGCGGCCCUGACCGUAGGUGGCGAGCAGGGCCUGGGCCUC
rnacentral:antisense_RNA from 1 species